GAAUAACAAACAUGCUCCCAGGCAGGGAUCCCGAUACCCACUUUGGGCGGUAUUGGGAGCUCAAGUGUCCCACACUGGAAACAAGGAAACCACCCUCCUCCAAAUCCAUUACAAAUGGGUCAUCUCCAACUACCAAAAGAGAUAAACGAGAUCGAUAGCGAUAGCGACAAGGCUCAUCACGUGAUUCUGCUGGAUCAGACCAACUGUCUAUACAGCUGAAACAUUUGGCGCUAAAAGAAGUCCCUUGGAUCCUUGCUGGCAGGGCACAACACUCUACCAAUGACUACCAGCACCCCCGAUACACACGACGAUGACACUACAAAAACUUUCCUUAUUAAUAGCAUUUCAUGAUAGCGUUUUUUCACGAAGUGUUAUAUUUUAGGGAUGGGCAUAAACCGAACCGGGAGUCGAAAACCGGCCGAACCGGGCCUGAAAAACGGUUCAAUAACCGAACCGGAUGAGAAAAGCAAUCAAAAACUCAUCAGCUGAACUGGACCGGAUCUUUCUGGUUCGGGACCGGUUCAGCCUUUUAAACCGGCCGAAGUCAACCGAAUUUGACCGAAUUUUAAAUACUUAUAUUUUUUUAAUGUGUUGUCUCUUUCUUAUUGGAUGAUUGUUGUUUAUGUUGCACCUUACCACACACAAUUGCGACUACCUCAUAUAAAUUAUUAUAACCCUAGAGAUAUCAGCCUCAUUCUCUACAACCUCACGCCCUCACUCUUAUCUCUCUCUCUCUUCAACUCUCAUUCUCCGAUUUCUCUCUAUCUCUCGCCAUUCCACAAAAGAUUAGGCCGCAAACAAAAUUAGGCCAUGUCCUUCGAGACUAGAUGAGGCGAUCUAUGUUCUUCAUUAGAUCCGUCCACGGCGGCUAAUCGACGGACUCCAUCCCCCAGUUAAGGUCGCCGUUCUCGGUGUUCUCCAUCAUCUCCAUCAGGUGUUCUUUUUCAUUGCUAUGGAAUCUUAGAUCUGGAGGGGAUGAGAUGAAGCUUGAAUUUUUUCUUUUUCGAUGCGAUCUGGGGACCAAGAAGUUGUGUUUAAAGCUUUGAUAUUUUCUUGUUGCUAUUAAUUUUUUUUUUCUUAUGAAUUUUGGCACUGUUGAUUAUAGCAAACCCAGUUCAA